CUCACUGUGUUCUUUCUCAUUGUCCUCCCUCUAGCUGUAUUUCCUCCACCAGCAACGUUCCAUUUCAAGCCACAGGACUAUAAAGACAGAUGCCACAAAGUUCAUCUGUUAUUGAGUGACCACAGGAAAUGCCAGAGAUUCUGAGAAGCAAUUGAAAUUGAACCAUGUAACAGCCAACCUGACCCUCUUCACUCAUGCCCCUCAGGAUCCUGGGUGUAACAUCAAUUAAGACAAAUUAACAUAAAGAAAGUCGGACUGGAAGAAACACAAUUUCUUUCAAGAAAUACUAGCGGCCCCAUGUUGCGAUUCAGGCCAUUGAGAAAUAUUUCAAGUAUGACUCCGAGAAAAGCUUUCACAAAUAUUUUAUGAGCUUCAAAAUUAUAAGAAGUCACCAAGCCCCUUCUUUUCACUGCUACCAUUUUGCAAGGACAACAUCACAAGGGGCUACACUAGAAACUAAAUGUGGGAUUUUGCCCACUUUUCACGCAUCAAGCCUCUUUCGAAGGUUGUGCUCUAAAUGACCUCAUUCAAAGUAUAAGGAGAACAUG
rnacentral:lncRNA from 10 species